UACAGAGGUGGCAAGCGUUGUUCGGAAUUACUGGGCGUAAAGGGCGCGUAGGCGGCCUACUAAGUCAGACGUGAAAUCCCCCGGCUUAACCUGGGAACUGCGUCUGAUACUGGAAGGCUUGAGGAUGGGAGAGGGAUGUAGAAUUCCAGGUGUAGCGGUGAAAUGCGUAGAUAUCAGGAGGAACACCGAUGGCGAAAGCGGCGCGCUGGACCACUACUGACGCUGAAGAACGAAAGCUAGGGGAGCAAACAGG
rnacentral:rRNA from 1 species